CCAAUAGCGUAUAUUAAAGUUGUUGCAGUUAAAAAGCUCGUAGUUGAAUUUCGGGAUCAAGUCGUCGGUCGUGCCUCGGUACGCACUGGUGACAUUGGUUUCUCCCUUCUGAAGAACCUUGAUGUCAUUAAUUUGGUGUCUUGGGGAAUCAGGACUGUUACUUUGAAAAAAUUAGAGUGUUUAAAGCAGGCUCACGCUUGAAUACAUUAGCAUGGAAUAAGGAAAUAGGACGUUUGAUUCUAUUUUGUUGGUUUCUAGGAUCGACGUAAUGAUUAAUAGGGAUAGUUGGGGGCAUUAGUAUUCAAUUGUCAGAGGUGAAAUUCUUGGAUUUAUUGAAGACUAACUACUGCGAAAGCAUUUGCCAAGGAUGUUUUCAUUAAUCAAGAACGAAAGUUAGGGGAUCGAAGACGAUCAGAUACCGUCGUAGUCUUAACCAUAAACUAUGCCGACUAGGGAUCGGAUGAUGUUAAUUUUAUAAUGACUCAUUCGGCGCCUUACG
rnacentral:misc_RNA from 1 species